rnacentral:pre_miRNA from 1 species
ACUGGAAUUGCUGGGUCAUAUGGUAGGUCUGUAUUUUAUUUCUUGAGGAACUGACAGGCUAUUUUUCAAAGUGACUACAUCAUUUUAUAUUCCCACCAGCAGU